AAAAAACACUGGUUCCCAUUUUACGCCCCUACUCAUUUCUAAAAAGAAAAAAGCACUUCUGGAACUUUCCCGCUCUGCACAGCACCGUUGUGGGAUCUUUCUCUGGAUGUGAAAGCCAACAGACUCUUAUGUGUUUUCUCUGAUGACAUCUUGUCAUUCUUUACCAAUGGGGGGGUCGGGUUGUUCUGAUGCUGUGACUGUGAGUCUACACUCACUUUCGGGCUGCUGGGGUCAAGGUUAAGAAAUAAGCAUUUGCAUCUAUUCAAGUCCGGCAAACCCUCGAAAUCUAGCAAAGGCUUUGGAAAAAAAAGAUUUGCUGUCUUUCACCGCUCACAUUUUCUGCCAGAGAUCCUUUAUCAAAUACAUUGAACAUGUUCAAUUGACACUUUGACAGAAAAUGGGCCAGUCGACACGUCUUUGCAGCCGAGGCCGUCGCCUCACACGUUCUGUGUGUCGUUGCUCGAUUCCUUUCCUCCGCUGUAAUAUUUGAGAAAGCAGGCUGAGCGAUGUCCUCCUCCCGUGUGCCCUCGCAUGGGCUUCAUGUGCUGCAGCCUUAGACGCAGCGACCUCCCUGCCGGGAUACCUUCUGCUGCGUGACUCUCCAAAGACACGUGGAGACGGAUCCUGAGACGCCAAUAAUCACGGCUUAUUUUUGAGAUGAGCCUAAAGUUUUAUGUUGACAAACAGGACUGAAUUCCUUCAUGCAUUUCCUUGGUUUCCUCUCUGUCGCUCUUGCAUCCGUCUCCUGCACCGGAUCCCGACAGCUGCUGCUCCGAUUGGACUCGAUGGGAGUUGAAUUAUCAGAGCUGAGAGGAGCAGUAAUGGGAUGAUGGAGAAGUGAGCUCCACUGAUUCGGCAUUCGGGUUUAAUUGGCGGAGCAUCGCGACGGGCUUGUUUAAAGCAUCUUGAGGAGUCGACUGCUUCAUCUUAACCUUGACCAGACAACCGCAGCCCGCCCCCCCUUCCUAUGUGUCAAUACUGGGCCCAAGUGGUCAAUGUGAGUAACAGCAACAAAGUGGGACCAUGACGCUGUCGUAACAGUAUCAUUGUGUGUGUGUGUGUGUGUGUGUGUGUGUGGAAGGAAAACAAACCAAGCUCUGGGUCUCAUGCCGUGAAACGCUAAAGAGAGCAAAUGUUAGUUUUUUCUUACUGUCCGGGGUGACGUCCACUCUCUCAGAGGGGUGUUGAGAAGCGUUCUGACCCGGCUCGCUGUGACUCUAAACACUUUGAGUAAUAACAAAACAAACGCGUCACAUCACCGUUCCCUCUCAGCGAUACGGCUGAAGGGUGAGCAGUAGUUGGCCUCACAUUCAACCACUUUCUUUCUUUCUUUUGGUUUCGGCAGGUUGAAUCUAUGCAUGCCUUUUGUAAUCAGUGAGAAACUCUCCGCUCGGGGGGCCGUCGUUGCUGCCAUGGGACUGGUUGAAACCGACUCGGCACGAGAGCAGCUGGGACCCUUCAAGUGUUUUCAGCCUGGUAAUCACUUCACACACAUUCUAAGGAGUGUGCGUCUUACAGAAGAAGCAUUCGUUUACUUGGGAUGAUUGUACUUUUACACGUAUGUAUUCACGCGCGAGAGGACGCGGUCAGCUGUAGAUAACUACUGAUAUUCCAAGCAGGACGGCAGGACUGAUCAAUGCCGUAUGGGGGAUUGGAUUAUUAAUGGCAGACUUUCAUUGAUCUUGAACCUUCUCCCUCUGAAGUGGGAGCAGGUGAGCGGCGCUCUCACAGACCUGGUUAGCACUCAUUUCUAGGUUUCCACACGACCUUUUAAGACGAUUUUCCUCUCUUAAGAACGAGAUGGCGCCACAUUUAAGACUAUUUCUUUUGCCAGGUCUGAGCCAGUGUAACGCUCUUUUCCCUCUCCGUCACUUCAGAGGAAGCGGCCACUGUGUCUUUAGCUCUGUAUUUGUUGGAGCCCUCGAACAGAAGAUAUAGUUAAUAAUAGUUUAAGUAAAGUUCUCAAAUUGGCUAAAUUAUUUUUCUCUUCUUUGUCUUUCUCUCGUUUUCUGUCUCUUCUCUGUCUUUCUCUCUUUCAACUUGGCGCCGAUCUCGUUAAACACACAGCCGAUGCGUAUUCGUGGCCUUUAGCCGCGGCCAUUACUGACCCCAGAAACCUGGGAAUGGGUGCUGAGCGCUCCGAUGUAAUGCAGAGCUAACAAUUAACCACUAAAGCACAUGACAUUCCUCUCUGUUCCCUAAAAACACCCGACUGUGCCAGAAUUAUUAACAUUUCCAUGCUGCACCACGCUGUGUGUGUGUGUGUGUGCGUGUGGAUCCUUGGGCGUAAAGAACAGGAACUGUAUAUAUUAGAACUAUUAGCCAUAUCAUGUCAUCAGAUCUGUAGACCUCCUUGCCAUGUCUGCCAGAGGAAAAUGACUGUUGAACUGUAAAUAGUGUAGUUAUAGUAAUAGAGGAUUUAAAAGCUGUUUCUUUACUCCAGGGAUCACGCGUGUUUUGCUCAGUCCCAUGGCUGCUUGGUCCCAAAGGGAAAGAUGAGACAAUAAUGUCCUCGUCUAGAAAACACGUAUUAGUUCUUUUUUUUUAUUUUGAAUUCAUGUUUUAUAUACUGUCUGUCUUGUAAAU
ensembl:lncRNA